AUUUUCUGCAGAGGAAACUGCCUUGCAGGAAGGUAAGUAGCUUGUCCAAGUUCACUCUGGUUGUGGCAGAAUACAUUUCCAAGGCUGGGAUCUUAAAUGCUCUGCUUGAUCCUCUACCCCUUGGAGGAAGGAAAAAGGGUAGAGUUCCUGUGGCUCUGUCCCCUCCCCUGGGUGCCACGCAGUGACUGAGGGUCACCAGGGUCAGCCCAUGGAAACGCUGACCCUUUCUAGGAGGCGUUGCAACAUCCAGCAGUUUCCUGCGCAACUAUCAUAGGGGGCUUGGGUCUGGUGAGCAGUGAAGAUCCUGAGAUUUGGGGCUAGAAGACAUGAGCCUGUCUCCUGACUUACUAGCUGUGUGACUUUGACGCUUAGCUUUGUCUCCCUGGACCUUGGUUCCCUCACCUAUAAAAUGGGAGAGAAGAAUACAAAAAUUUUCUCUCCGUGACCUGCCCCAGGGAGAUCAAAUGUAGACCCUAAGUCCGCUGCAGCCAGGGGGCCUAAGCAGACGGAAAGCAGUGGUGGGUGGCGAGGGUUGAGAGGGGAGGAGAUCAGGGACAGGGGGCAGGAAGGGAGUGUCGGGGGCUGGUAUCACACUACUAGGCUCCCAGGUCUGGAGAGAGGCCAGCAGAGAUCAGGAUUUCCUUUCAUAACAGAUUAUGGAACAGCUACUUUGCACUAAUCUAUCUGCCUGAUAGAGAUCAUCUGGGGAUGACCCAGCAGCCUUUGGUGAAGACACAGAACAGAAUGGCUGCAUCUUCCCAGGAAAAUCCCAUGGGCAAAACGACUCUAGGUGCCAGAUAACAGCCAUUUUUUGGCAAGUGCCGGU
rnacentral:lncRNA from 10 species